rnacentral:lncRNA from 1 species
GCCCUGACAGCAGUGAAUCAGGACUCACCCAGUUGUUGUUGUUGUUCCGAACAGAAGCUCUGCCUUUAUAAUGCAGCCUUUGAAUGACCCUUAAGAGCAAGGACAGAGCUGACUACAUUUUCAGAGAAGAUUAAAAAUGAAAUCUAUUAUCGGUGAAUAAAUAAAAUGACAGAGAAACAAAUGAUUCUUCCCGCUAGCUAUGCAGAGUCAAGCUUCCUUAAUAAGGUUCUGCUCCCCCCUUAAAAACGAGAUGACUGUUUACAAGCCAGCAGGAGUUACUGGGCUGGAAAAAUACUCCCUUUGUUUGCACGGUCAGAUACUGCAGAAGUUACUGUUAAAAUUAACGCCCAGUGUGGAAAAGACACCAAUUGACUACAUUCUUCAGCAACAUGGACAUAGAAGUUCUGAGGAUAUUCAUCCAACAAUAGAUAUCAAGCUAAGUCGGUAUCCUGGCAAACUGCUAGAUGUCAUGAUAAAAGAUGGUCAGAAUACAGCCUGCCUUCAAAAUAUAUGCCAUUCUUAAAUAUUCUCUCUCCAAAAAUUUCUAGUAAGCUGAUUUAAAAUUGAUCAUCCAAAGAAAUAGUAGAACAAUUUAAAUAAUAAAUGGAUGCAUAAAUAAAUGUGUAAUCAUAUCUACAUAUAUCAUUAUUUGUAGCCCAUGUAAUGAUCUAUUUAAAGGUAGAUGAUCAUUUCCUAUGUCCCCAGAUAUUUCAGGAUAGUGCAACCUAGUAACCCAAAAUAUAGAAUCAUUCAAUGUUGAAAGAAAAUAAACUUUGCAAAAAUCUAUCCUUUUUCCUCCAAUAAAUGCAACCACUAUGUACUGAGGAUUUGUUGACAUCUUCCCCGA